UGAAAAGUGUUGAGAUGAGCUGUGGGUAGGGGUGAAAGGCCAAUCAAACUGGGAAAUAGCUCGUACUCCCCGAAAUGCAUUUAGGUGCAGCGUCGUGGUGAGUUUGAUAGAGGUAGAGCUACUGAUAGGGCUAGGGGGCUUCACCGCCUACCAAACCCUGACAAACUCCGAAUGCUAUAAUAUAUACUGAGCAGUGAGGGCAUGGGUGCUAAGGUCCAUGUCCGAGAGGGAAAGAACCCAGACCAUCAGCUAAGGUCCCAAAAUAUAUGUUAAGUUGAAUAAACGAGGUUGAACUGCUUAGACAGCUAGGAUGUUGGCUUGGAAGCAGCCAU
rnacentral:rRNA from 1 species